CCCUUAGAUGUCCUGGGCCGCACGCGCGCUACACUGAUGCAUGCAACGAGUUUAUAACCUUGGCCUGAAAGGUCUGGGUAAUCUUUUGAACGUGCAUCGUGAUAGGGAUAGAUUAUUGCAAUUGUUAAUCUUGAACGGGGAAUUCCUAGUAAACGCGAGUCAUCAGCUCGCAUUGAUUACGUCCCUGCCCUUUGUACACACCGCCCGUCGCACCUACCGAUUGAAUGGUUCGGUGAAGAUCUCGGACUUCGAUAUUUAUUCUUUAUUGAGUUUAUAUUGUGGGAAGUUAUCUAAACCUCAUCAUUUAGAGGAAGGUGAAGUCGUAACA
rnacentral:rRNA from 1 species